GGGCGGUUAACUCAGCGGUUAGAGUUCCGGCCUUACACGCCGGCUGUCAAAGGUUCGAAUCCUUUACCGCCCACCA
rnacentral:tRNA from 1 species